UACGGGGGGGGCAAGCGUUGUUCGGAAUUACUGGGCGUAAAGGGCUCGUAGGCGGCCAACUAAGUCAGACGUGAAAUCCCUCGGCUUAACCGGGGAACUGCAUCUGAUACUGGAUGGCUUGAGUUCGGGAGAGGGAUGCGGAAUUCCAGGUGUAGCGGUGAAAUGCGUAGAUAUCUGGAGGAACACCGGUGGCGAAGGCGGCAUCCUGGACCGACACUGACGCUGAGGAGCGAAAGCCAGGGGAGCGAACGGG
rnacentral:rRNA from 1 species